rnacentral:rRNA from 1 species
ACGUAGGGGGCCAGCGUUGCUCGGAAUUACUGGGCGUAAAGGGUCCGUAGGCGGUGUGGCAAGUCGGAAGUGAAAUCUCAGGGCUUAACCCUGAGGCUGCUUCUGAAACUGCCGUGCUAGAGUGCGAGAGAGGCGAGUGGAAUUGCAGGUGUAGCGGUGAAAUGCGUAGAUAUCUGCAGGAACACCCGAGGCGAAGGCGGAUCUCUGGGCCUUACCUGACGCUGAGGCGCGAAAGCUAGGGGAGCAAACAGGA